UGGGGAAUAUUGCACAAUGGGCGCAAGCCUGAUGCAGCCAUGCCGCGUGUGUGAAGAAGGCCUUCGGGUUGUAAAGCACUUUCAGCGAGGAGGAAGGUGGUGAGCUUAAUACGCUCAUCAAUUGACGUUACUCGCAGAAGAAGCACCGGCUAACUCCGUGCCAGCAGCCGCGGUAAUACGGAGGGUGCAAGCGUUAAUCGGAAUUACUGGGCGUAAAGCGCACGCAGGCGGUUUGUUAAGUCAGAUGUGAAAUCCCCGGGCUCAACCUGGGAACUGCAUUUGAAACUGGCAAGCUAGAGUCUCGUAGAGGGGGGUAGAAUUCCAGGUGUAGCGGUGAAAUGCGUAGAGAUCUGGAGGAAUACCGGUGGCGAAGGCGGCCCCCUGGACGAAGACUGACGCUCAGGUGCGAAAGCGUGGGGCAGCAAACAGGAUUAGAUACCCUGGUAGUCCACGCUGUAAACGAUGUCGAUUUUGGAGGUUGUGCCCCUUGAGGCGUGGCUUCCGGAGCUAACGCGUUAAAUCGACCGCCUGGGGAGUACGGCCGCAAGGUUAAAACUCAAAUGAAUUG
rnacentral:rRNA from 1 species